AUACCACAAGGGUCUCUGGCCCAGUAAGUGGAGUUUGAUAGUAGUAA
rnacentral:snoRNA from 1 species